rnacentral:tRNA from 1 species
UGCACUGUAGUUUAAUAGGUAGAACACCCGGUUUAUAUCCGGACGAUGAAGGUUCGACUCCUUCCAGUGUGC